CCUACGGGGGGCAGCAGUGAGGAAUAUUGGUCAAUGGGCGCGAGCCUGAACCAGCCAAGUAGCGUGAAGGAUGACUGCCCUACGGGUUGUAAACUUCUUUUAUAAAGGAAUAAAGUGAGGCACGUGUGCCCUUUUGUAUGUGCCUUAUGAAUAAGGAUCGGCUAACUCCGUGCCAGCAGCCGCGGUAAUACGGAGGGUCCGCGCGUUAUCCGGAUUUAUUUGGUUUAAAGGGAGCGUAGAUGGGUUGUUAAGUCAGUUGUGAAAGUUUGCGGCUCAACCGUAAAAUGGCAGUUGAUACUGGCAGUCUUGAGUACAGUUGAGGUAGGCGGAAUUCGUGGUGUAGCGGUGAAAUGCUUAGCUAUCACGCAGAACUCCGAUUGCGAAGGCAGUUUACUAAACUGCAACUGACAUUGAUGCUCGAAAGUGUGGGUAUCAAACAGGAUUAGAUACCCGUGUAGUC
rnacentral:rRNA from 1 species